AUGCAAAUCUGGUCACUCGAGGGUGCGGAGGAGGCGUUCGGCGAUUUCGGCCGAAUCGAGCGCCUCGACAGCCGGACGCUGGAGCAGGGCCACACGAAGACCUUCGCUUGCUGGCUCUGGACCUGGGAUGUCGCGCACAUUCCGACAAAGCAUGCACUCUGGGUCCUCAAGAGGGGAGCAGGCCGCGUCGACGAGAUCCUCGGCUACUCCCCGCCGGACCGCCGCGUCCUACCGCCGCCGGGCGUACGCCGCUAUGAUCUGUUGCUGCACGUGGAUCGUGUUGAAGACUGGACCCCGCUCUCGCCGCGCUCUUUGCACUCGGGCCAGAGCGGGAUCGCCUCCUCUGACAACGACGACAACCGCCCCUACCCGUGCGUCGUCGAGCCGGGAUCCUGGGUGGGAGGUGUCGAAGAUGGCCAGGUGCUGUCUCGUCGCCCCGAGGCUUGGCUGACCACUGCUUCUUGCCGGGCGGCCCCUCGGGCGAGCCGGCGUGACCACGAUGAGGAUGGCUCUGGCGACUAG
rnacentral:rRNA from 1 species